rnacentral:rRNA from 1 species
GAUGAACGCUGGCGGCGUGCCUAAUACAUGCCAGUCGAGCGAACAGACGAGGAGCUUGCUCCUUUGACGUUAGCGGCGGACGGGUGAGUAACACGUAGGUAACCUACCUAUAAGACUGGGAUAACUUCGGGAAACCGGAGCUAAUACCGGAUAAUAUUUCGAACCGCAUGGUUCGAUAGUGAAAGAUGGCUUUGCUAUCACUUAUAGAUGGACCUGCGCCGUAUUAGCUAGUUGGUAAGGUAACGGCUUACCAAGGCAACGAUACGUAGCCGACCUGAGAGGGUGAUCGGCCACACUGGAACUGAGACACGGUCCAGACUCCUACGGGAGGCAGCAGUAGGGAAUCUUCCGCAAUGGGGGAAAGCCUGACGGAGCAACGCCGCGUGAGUGAUGAAGGUCUUCGGAUCGUAAAACUCUGUUAUUAGGGAAGAACAAACGUGUAAGUAACUGUGCACGUCUUGACGGUACCUAAUCAGAAAGCCACGGCUAACUACGUG